rnacentral:misc_RNA from 1 species
UCCGGUUUGUCACCAGCGGUCUCCUAUGAGUCCCCGCCAUCACGCGCUGGCAACAUAGAACGAGGGUUGCGCUCGUUGCGGGACUUAACCCAACAUCUCACGACACGAGCUGACGACAGCCAUGCAGCACCUGUGUAAGCUCCCCUUGCGGGGUCGUCCCACUUUCAUGGUUCUACCACCUACAUGUCAAGGCCAGGUAAGGUUCUUCGCGUUGCAUCGAAUUAAGCCACAUACUCCACCACUUGUGCAGGCCCCCGUCAAUUUCUUUGAGUUUUAAUCUUGCGACCGUACUUCCCAGGCGGCGCGUUUAUCGCGUUAGCUUCGCCACGAGUGGGGUCGAUUCCACUCACAGCAAACGUGCACCGUUUACGGCUAGGACUAC